UAAAUUUAAAAAUUGAUACUUACGUAAAUCGCGUCGGUCGUUAAAAAAAAUAAAACAAAAUAAGACAACAUAUCUGAAGGAGUGGAUUACGCAUAAACAUAUUAAUUAAAUGUAAAUAAGUUGUUUAACAUUUGAAUAUUAACAUGGGCUUGCCGUUGCUCUGCGACUGAAAAUUUAAUCGAUAACCAGAGAAUACUAAUGCAAUAGCAAAAAAGGAAAAACAAAAAAAAUUUAUCCAUCAUUCAAAUUAACUCAUCAUUUAGUCAACAUCAAAUUCAAAACUCUCCAAGGCAAGCAUCUGUUUUGUGCUUUGCAAGUCAUCUCUUACUGCGUCAAUAUCAUCCAUUUCGUCCGGAACAGCAUCAUUAACAAGUGUAGUAUCAGAUUUGUGCAUCUGUUCCUCUAUUGUCAAUUGUCGUCUAAAUUUCCUCAAUCCUUCUAAUAUUGGUUUUGAUCGAUCAUUUGUCUUAACACUCUUCAAUUUAACUCCACUGACAAUUUGCUUGAGCAAUUUGUUAUGCAUAUUAGAUGUUUCUGAUUCAAAAACAAAGUGUGCGUUUCCUGUAAAAUAUCAAACAGUAAAAACUGAUGUAUAAAAAUCUUAUCUUUAAUUAAUAAUUUUCAAAUUAAACAAAUAAUACCUGUUGGAUCUUCUGUAACUUUGCUAACCCUCUCAAUUAUUGGAGCACUUCUGUCAUUACAUUUAACAUGCUUGAGCUUUCUACCACUUUCAACUUCUUUCAUCAUACAUGCCCAAUCCGGACGUUUUCUUGGCCUCGAUUUAAGCAUUUCCAAUUUUUCUUGUUGCGAAUCCGUAAGUUCCGGUAAAUCUUUCAAUAUUUUACGGGCUGGAGGAGGUGGUGGUGGUCUAGGUGGUGGUGGCGGUGGUAUUGCAGCUCUUGAUGAACUUUUUGAUAAUGUCGGUGCCCCUGAUAUUAUAGUAACACAAUAUAUACAAUUAAAUAACUAAUCAAUAGGGUCGAUUAAAUAAUUAACUGACAAUGAGGACAGUUACGAUCAAAAUAACUCAAUCAGUUUACUCUACUCUAAUGCCAAUCAAUUUUAUCAUGUGUGUAGUAAAUCGUGUAUUACAUAAAUUAUUUUUAAAUCAACAAUUAUUUUAAUACGGAAGAAAAAAAUUACAGUUUCAAAUAGUGACUUCAAAAUUUAACUAAAAGUUCUGUCAAAAGUAUGCUUAUUUUAACCCUUUCACGCAUAAAGGACACAUUUGUCCCUGCAUAAUUUUCCGAUUUACAAUAACAUACUGGCCAAGUAAAAUCUUUUUUAGAUUUAUAAUUUUUGAUUUUUAGUACUUUUUCAAAUUUUCGCGGAACACCUUCACAUGUAACGGUAAAAGUUAGUAAUAGAAAAAAUACAGUGCGCUAAACGUCACCUGGAAAAUCGCACAAAUAAUACAUGCUCUCCAUGUAAUGUUCAUUUAUGUUAUACUUUAGAUCGUAAUUGUUUUGUAAAAUUUCAUAAUUUUUAGUAUUUUAAAUAAGUAUAUACAUUUAAUAAGUUGUAUUUUCUGCCAUAUUUUGUGUUCAUUUUGCAACAAAAGCGUGAAGUAUUUGAUUGCAAUCCAUUGAAAAAUGUAUACUUGAAGGCAUAUAGGGAUAUAUAUGUGUCUCCAUUCCAAAAACACUAAAAUAUACACAAUUUCUGUCUUAUGGAUUACUUUUGUGUUGAAUUAGAUCAAAAUAGAUGGAUGUAAAUAAACAAAAACAUUUUUACUCUUGGAAUAGUUAUGAACGUGUAAGGGUUAAACUGUAAAUUUUACUGCUGAGAAUAAUAUUUAACAAAAUAAUUAUUUGAAACUGUAAUUAUUACAGAAUUUUGUCAAAUGUCACCAGUUUUAAAUUCAAAGCAUCGCGUUAUUAUAUUAAACUGUAAUAUUUCUUGUUUUAUUUUUUGCGUAAAUGGCAAUCAAAUAGAAAUCUGAUUUUUAAAAAUUAAAAUAUAAUUUAAAAUAAAUAUUCUCACCAGUUGAACUUUCACUUUUUGAAAGAGGAACUUUGUUAUCGGUACGCGAUUGAGAUUUUUCAACGCGAAUCUGCCGUUCAAGUUGAGGUCUUGAAGACGGUGUCUCCGUACGCGAUUCAUUCUGCUGUCCGAGUUUAGGAGCUGUUGAUGUUUUACUUCUUUCAUUCUCACUCUGUUUGACGUUUGAUGUUGCUAGUUUAGUAGUUGCAUUCUUAUCGCUUUUAGGUUGCGUUGGCACGAUAGUUAUUUUACUUUGCUUUUUAAUUGGAGCUUCAGACGGUUGUUUUUGUGGUGCCACAGCGUCUGCUGGUUUCGCUACACUCUAAAAAAUUUAUUUUUUAAAAUAAUUAUUAUUAUAAUUAUUUUUAUCAAUCAUUUACAUUUAAUUUAUUUAUUAUAUCAUUAAUUAUUUUAAAUUAUUCACUUGAUUAACUAAUUCAAUAUUUAAACUGCUGCGUUUAACAACUAGCAUCGGGUACUUUGUAUUUUCACUCGCAGUCCAUCUAUGCGGGGGUAUUUUUCUUUGACUGUUAGAACUUGUUCCAGCAAUAUCCAUUUAGUUAUCAAAUUUUUUUCUUUAUUUUAGUAAAAUAUCAAACAUGAAAAUUUCGAAUCACUGAGUAAGAUUAUAAAUGUGGUCGCAUCAAAAGUAAAAGUACUAAUGAUUCAUAUCAGAUCGAAUUAAAUAAAAAAAAUUAAUUUGGCAAGUCGUUUAAUUUUCUUUAAAUAAUACUUUGAUAUAUAUUUCUUCUAUAUAUAUAUUUAAAUAUAUUCUAAAAUAAUUGCAUGAUUAAUUGGAUUAUGACACAAGAAAAAAUGAAAAUUUUGACGUCAUGAAUGAUAUAAUUAAAUUUAUUAUUAUUUAUGUUGAUGUGUACAUCCUCAGUAAAUAAUUCUUACACUUUGUUUAUUAUGAAAUCUCCAUUUUUUUCUAAUUGUCCUGAUAGUCACUUUGAUCGUAAGUGACAGGAAUCUACGACUGAAAAAAGAUGUCAAGUUGACUGCAAAUAGUUGUCGGUAACUUGUAGUAAAUUUGGAAGUUAAAUUUUGCUCAUUCAAGUUUUUUUCCCGCAACUCUCAAAUUUAAACUAACUUUUGUUCUUCGUUUUUUUUUCCGCAACUUGAAGGCAAUUUUUUGAUUCAACUUGCAUUCCUAUUACGGCUAUAGAUUUACGUCAACUUGUGGUAUUACAUGUUCAUGUUGUAUUCAUAUUACAAUCAAAACUUGAAACAGCAGAACUUGACAUAGACUUGACCCAAGAUACUGAACAAGUUUUUGAACAGAACAUGUGGCUAUCAAGAUGCCUAUCUAGUUUUUUCAAAUUUUAUUUGGGAGCUCUGUUAUUGCAUGUCUGUUUAUUAUAAAAGUUUAUUAUUAAAUAUAUAAAAAGGUUGACAUCUGUCUAGAAUUUCUCGGACAUGUCUUAAUUUUAAAAGUGUCCGGGCACUCCGGCAGGUGUUUUUCUGUUUGAAUUUUUUAACAUUUACUUUUUAAAUACUAAAAAAAUAAGAAACUUUUUACUAAUGGACAAAAGAAAGGAACAAAUUCAAACUCAAUCCAAUUGCCGGUUUGCUACUUUUAAAUAAUUAAGCAAAGACGAUUUAAUAAAAAUUAAUAUUUUUAAAAAAUAUCUUCGAGAUAGUGAAUAUUACUUUUAAAAAUUGUUUUUCAAUAAAAAAAUAAUUAUUAGCAAACAGAAGCUUGAUUAUUAAAAUAGUAUAUUACACACCUAGGGAAGUAAAGUAAGAAAUGUCUCAGAUCACAUGUAAUUGUUGGCCGAGGCGAAGCCGAGGUCAACAAACAUGUGAUCUGAGGCUUUCUUAUUUACUUCCCGAGGAGUGUAUACUAUUUUUCUCCUCGACGGAGGAGGAAAGCGGCAACUUCGUUUUGCACAGCGGGACGAAAGUUGCACUUUCCGCCCGGAGGUGAGAAAAUUUAUUUAUUUAAAAAAUAAAACUACUCGAAAUUCGUUUAUUUUAUUGGGGUAAUUAAAAAUUUUAGUUGUCUGAUUUUUUUUUUUUAAUGUCCGAAGCUAAAAACAAUUGAGUUGGUAACUCUAAUUGUAUAUAUGAAAUAAUAUGUAUAAUACAUUUAUUAGACAUACCAAUGUCAAAUGUUUUUAUACUACUGAUCACGUCAGUUCCAGACGUGCAUUCGCUGUUGUUUAAAAUUUCUAUUUUUAUAAACUUUUACACCAUCAUCAUUUACAAGUUAAAAAUAUAAAAAAAGAUGUAUAAAAAAAAAUAGAUCAUUCAUAUAUAUUCGCAGCGAUUUAUGUGAAUUAUUAUUAAUAUCAUUUAUUUUUUUUUUUUUAAUAAGAAUUACAUGCUCCAAUUUAUUAGAAUUUAAAUAUUUUAUAUAACAACAUUACGUUUAUUAUAUUGAAUAAAAAAAAAAUUUAUUAUACAUUAAAUAUAUAUAAGUAAAAGUUGUAAAAAAUAUUUAUAACGAUAAAUAAUAACAUAUUAAAUUACUUAGUUUAUAUUAUAUGACUAGCGAAGAGGAAGAGAUAGAGCUUCACACAUGAGACAUUUUAAAUCGAGGCGUGUGCUUGAAAUAAUCGUGACCCAGAGGCUUAUAUAUACGAGCCACUUUUCACUUUGCAUCUAAAGACGUUGUCUCGCUGGUUAACUUAAAAUCUUUUACCCCUCGCUAUCUCUUUUUCCGUCUUUUAAUAUAAUCAAAAUAACCCAAUCCAUCAUUUAUAUGUAUAUGUAGAUAAUUUAUAUAUACAUUAUUUUAUGUUUAAAUAAUUUUUAAAAAUAAGUUUAUAUAAUAUUUAUUUUUUUAAUUCAUGGUCACUUAUAAAUUUAUUUAGAUUUAUAUAUUUUUUUUUUAUUUAAGAAUAUUUGUCAAUAAGAUUUAUAAAAAAAAAGUUCUUUUAAUUGUGGCACUGUGCCAUUAAAUAAAACAUUAAUGCAGUCGCAAUAAAUGUUUGCUUAGCAAAUUUUAUUACUAGUAAUAAACAAUAAAUUGACAUAAGCCAUUAAAAAAUUAAAAUUAAAUUGUAAUAUUUAUAAUUUUUAGAUCAAAUUUAUUAAUAUACCAGUAGUUAAAUCGACGCAGAUAAGCGACAACGAGUCAACUCACAAAUAAUCGAUUUUCAAAAUUUCUGUACCAAGUAAUUCUUUUGUUACUGAAAAAUGUUUUUUUGAGUAGUUUAAAAAAGCGUAAAAAAAAAUUGUUAAUACAAAUUAAUUAUCUGGGAUAAAACUUUUGCAAAAUCGAGUUAAGUAACUUGAGUUAAAAUAUUAGAUUGCAGGACAUUCAUUAACUAGAAUACAAAUUUUAGUAACUUGGUACGUUAUUGCACCAAAUACUAAAUAAAGUUUUGUUAUUACAAGAUACAAAUUUUAUUGUAAUUAACAAUAUUUUUGCUGUAAUAAUGUUAGCAGUACAGUGUCAAGUUACUUUAGAUUAAUUGGAUUUAAUGAGUACGAAACUUUUUUGAGAAUUAGUUUGGUUAUUUUAUAUUUCGUAAUAAAAAAUUUAAGUUCAUUUUUUAUGGAUUUGCUUGUUAUCAAUCAUCAAACUGUUAUACUUUUUUUCCUGAACAUUUGUUAAUAAAAGCUCAUAGAAGCAAUUCGUGCUCGAGUAAUUUCGAGAUAAAUUUUAUUGAAAAUAGUUUUAAAUCUUCAAACAUCAUCUUCUCAGAAUGUCUUCUAUGUUAGUUGACACGAAAUUGCUUAUCUACAUCCAAGCAUUAAUAUAAUAUUAAAUAAUUACUUUUAAUGUGACUUUAGUAAAUGCCGGUGCAUCUUCACUAGUCUUAGAUUCUCUUCUAGCAUUAAGUGACCAGGGUGCUGUGGGCAUUGGUAGUGGAUUUGGUCCAUCCUUGACCCACGGCGGUCUAAAUGUUGUUCUCUGAGGUUGCUGACCUCCCGCACCCGGCAUAGUUUUCUCACUCGUGGCUUUUUGCCCUUAUAUUUUAUUUUUAUUCUUUAAAUAUCACCUUCCGUUAAUCAAAUAGUCGUAAUCAAUUCUUUUAAAUCAAAUAAAAAUAAUAAUUAUUAUUA